rnacentral:rRNA from 1 species
AUUGAACGCUGGCGGCAGGCUUAACACAUGCAAGUCGAGCGGGGGAAGGUAGCUUGCUACUGGACCUAGCGGCGGACGGGUGAGUAAUGCUUAGGAAUCCGCCUAUUAGUGGGGGACAACAUCUCGAAAGGGAUGCUAAUACCGCAUACGUCCUACGGGAGAAAGCAGGGGAUCUUCGGACCUUGCGCUAAUAGAUGAGCCUAAGUCGGAUUAGCUAGUUGGUGGGGUAAAGGCCUACCAAGGCGACGAUCUGUAGCGGGUCUGAGAGGAUGAUCCGACACACUGGGACUGAGGCACGGCCCAGACUCCUACGGGAGGCAGCAGUGGGGAAUAUUGGACAAUGGGGGGAACCCUGAUCCAGCCAUGCCGCGUGUGUGAAGAAGGCCUUAUGGUUGUAAAGCACUUUAAGCGAGGAGGAGGCUACUCUAGUUAAUACCUAGGGAUAGUGGACGUUACUCGCAGAAUAAGCACCGGCUAACUCUGUGCCAGCAGCCGCAGUAA